UCACUGUUCCCUGGACCCUGCUCCUCAUGGGCCCUUGCACAGUCCAGAAGAUCUGUGAGCAGGGUGGUUGGUUCCCAUCUCAGCACACAAAUUUACAAGCUGAGAACACGUACAAGGGCCUGUUGGCACCAUCACUGCUGCCAACCUCUUCUCUGCAGCCCACACACCACCAAGGCUGAGGUCACCCACAGCUCUCCUGCUCUGGCACACUUCCUGCUGCUGGGAUUUGCUCUCCAGAGCACAUGUUGGAGGAAUGAGUCUUUGUUUUUUGCAAUCAAAAACUUCUUGGAAGAAUAUCUCAUGGCAAAUAUCAGACACCAGCUCCCCUGGUCUCAAACACUUGUGUCUUUAAAAUCACCCUUGAUGAAGCCUGAGAAGGACUGGGGAAAUUCCAUAUGGCCACAGCACUGGAAAUACAUGGCUGCAUCCAGAAACUGCUCAUGGAAACAUCCAACUGCAGACCCAGGCUACUCCUGUGGAUGGAGAGACCUGCCCUGGGGUGCCAGGGUGAGCUCUGAGUCCCCUCAACUCUCCUGGAUUCCAGCAGAGAACAAAAGGAUUCUCAGCGGACUCCAUCAGGAGCAGACUGAGGUGGAGGAGUGGGAGGCAGCACAGCAAGGAGGUCAGUAAGCAAAUAAGCACAUGUACUAUCUCAGUAAUGAAAUGACUCUUUGCCUCUCCUCAUCCUUGAUGGGAAGUGACAGCCAAAGGAAUCAUUA